UACGAAGGGUGCGAGCGUUGUCCGGAAUCACUGGGCGUAAAGAGCUCGUAGGCGGUCUGUCGCGUCUGCUGUGAAAACUCGGGGCUUAACCCCGGGCCUGCAGUGGGUACGGGCAGACUAGAGUGCGGUAGGGGAGACUGGAAUUCCUGGUGUAGCGGUGAAAUGCGCAGAUAUCAGGAGGAACACCGGUGGCGAAGGCGGGUCUCUGGGCCGUAACUGACGCUGAGGAGCGAAAGCGUGGGGAGCGAACAGG
rnacentral:rRNA from 1 species